AAAUGGUAAGAUAAAAAUACUGAACAAAUAAAAUGGCAAAACUGUGUAUCUCUGCUGUCUUGAGGUAAAUGAUGUGGAGAGUGUUUGCAUAUUGAUCAGAUGCUUCAGUGCUCUGAGAGUGUUUAUAGUGCUGUGAGUUUAACACUUCAUCACUGACACACACAACAAUCUUCAUCAACAUGACCUUCAUCAUCAUCUUCAUCUGGACACUUUCAUACUGCUUUAUACUACAAGGGUGUAAAGCUCAGAUCACAGUCACUCAGACUCCUUCAGUGAAAACUGCCACACCACGAGAAAAUGUAGAGAUGAGCUGUAAACUCAGUAGUCCUGCUACAGCCUGCAGCCCACCCUGUGUGUUCUGGUAUUUACAGAAACCUGGAGAAGCUCCUAAACUCCUGAUUUAUAGAACAAACCGCCUCCAGUCAGGAACUCCAUCUAGAUUCAGUGGCAGUGGAUCUGGGACAGAUUUCACUCUGACCAUCAGUGGAGUCCAGACUGAAGAUGCUGGACAUUAUUACUGUCAGAGUUACCACAGUGGUUAUGUGUUCACACAGUGA